ensembl:misc_RNA
GGCUGAAUCGAAGGUCAUAGGAUAAAUUCUUAGCGCCGGCCGUCCCAAAAUAUGGUGAAGGGAACGGCGGCACAGAGUUCGCGGCGCAAGAGCAGGCCAAGGUGGCAGUGGACAGCAGGCUGAGGACCAGCCCUGCCUCCAGCCGCAACGCUGAUAUCGGGAGAGGGCCGCCUCCAGGAUAGCUGCACUGUGCUUCA